GGCCCCAUCGUCUAGUCUGGUCCAGGACGCUAGCUUCUCAGGCUAGAGACUGGGGUUCAAAUCCCCAUGGGGCUACCA
rnacentral:tRNA from 3 species